UCUGUCCAUGCAAUGGAGGUAAUUUAAAGAUUGGAGUCCCUGAGAACUAUGAUGGUAUUUUCCCAUGGUACCUUGCCAAGCUCCAUGAUCUGCCCCUGACCUACACAGACCUGGUGGUGAGCGGGGACGAGGAGGGCACCUUUGGGGUGGAAGGGGGCAUGCUUUACGCCGUCAAGCCACUGGACAGGGAGAGGCAGCCAUCUUAUUCCCUACAGGUGUCCUUCACCACAGCAGUGAGCACACAGAGCUUCACAGUGGAGGUGUGUGUCAUCGACAAGAACGACAACGUGCCGCAGUUCAUCGAGGAGAGCAUGCGCGGAAGUGU